AUAAUCCCUGCGGGGGAAAGAUUUAUCGCUAUUAGAUGAGCCUAUGUUAGAUUAGCUAGUUGGUAGGGUAAAGGCCUACCAAGGCGAUGAUCUAUAGCUGGUCUGAGAGGAUGAUCAGCCACACUGGAACUGAGAUACGGUCCAGACUCCUACGGGAGGCAGCAGUGGGGAAUAUUGGACAAUGGGCGCAAGCCUGAUCCAGCUAUGCCGCGUGAGUGAGGAAGGCCUUAGGGUUGUAAAACUCUWUCRGUAGGGAAGAUAAUGACGGUACCUACAGAAGAAGUCCCGGCAAACUCCGUGCCAGCAGCCGCGGUAAUACGGAGGGGGCAAGCGUUGUUCGGAAUUAUUGGGCGUAAAGGGCAUGUAGGCGGUUCGGUAAGUUAAAGGUGAAAUGCCAGGGCUUAACCCUGGAGCUGCUUUUAAUACUGCCA
rnacentral:rRNA from 1 species